AAUUGGCUUAUCCAAUAAACCAAUUAGACUUGAUCCAAUCAAGCCCAAACUAAAUCUAAUUAAAUUAUAUUUAAUUAGACUUAAUCUCAACCCAUUGGCUUAAUCAAAUUAAGCCAAUUAGCAAUCAAAUUGCUAAUCGAUCCUCCUGCAACACUUGUACUAGGUUAAAUAUCAAUUGUAUUGAUCAUUUAACCCUAGAACGAUUCUUAAUCGUUGAUCAACCAUCCGAUCGGAUCAUGAACUCUAAUGUGUGUGACCUCAUAGGUCCGAACCUAAG
rnacentral:lncRNA from 1 species